AUGUAGGGGAAGGGACGUCUUCUCACACUGAAGUGCAGCUUGGUGCCGACCCUGCAGUAGGCACUGGAUCUCAGCAGGAACCAGCAUUCGUGGAUACAGAGCAUGGGAUGGGGCCAUUAGAAGUGCCGCUGGAGCAAGCUGCACGGUGCUCUCAUUGCCACCAAACACUGCCUGCAUCAUUCAACAUCGAUGCACCUGGCACGUACAGUGUGCAAGCACGUUCUAGUGCAAUCGAUGAGCCCAGGCUUCAAUCUAAUCCCGAAGAGCUGGAGGCC